AGUGAACGCUGGCGGUAGGCCUAACACAUGCAAGUCGAACGGCAGCACAGUAAGAGCUUGCUCUUACGGGUGGCGAGUGGCGGACGGGUGAGGAAUACAUCGGAAUCUACUUUUUCGUGGGGGAUAACGUAGGGAAACUUACGCUAAUACCGCAUACGACCUACGGGUGAAAGCAGGGGAUCUUCGGACCUUGCGCGAUUGAAUGAGCCGAUGUCGGAUUAGCUAGUUGGCGGGGUAAAGGCCCACCAAGGCGACGAUCCGUAGCUGGUAUGAGAGGAUGAUCCCCCACACUGUAACUGAGACACGGUCCAGACUCCUACGGGGGGCCGCAGUGGGGAAUCUUGCACGAUGGGCGAAAGCCUGAUCCAGCCAUACCGCGUGGGUGCAGAAGGCCUUCGGGUUGUAAAGCCCUUUUGUUGGGAAAGAAAAACAGCAGGUUAACACCCCGCUGUUCUGACGGUACCCAGAGAAUAAGCACCGGCUAACUUCGUG
rnacentral:rRNA from 1 species